rnacentral:rRNA from 1 species
GACGAACGCUGGCGGCGUGCUUAACACAUGCAAGUCGAACGAUGAAGAAGAGAAACGCGAACUUCGGUUCAAAUUUUACUUCGGAUUAGUGGCAGACGGGUGAGUAACGCGUGAGCAACCUACCUCUUACAAAGGGAUAGCCUCGGGAAACCGUGAUUAAUACCAUAUGACACAUUCAUAAGGCAUCUUAAGAAUGUUAAAGCUACGGCGGUAAGAGAUGGGCUCGCGUCCCAUUAGCUAGUUGGUGAGGUAACGGCCCACCAAGGCGACGAUGGGUAACCGGCCUGAGAGGGUGAACGGUCACAUUGGAACUGAGACACGGUCCAAACUCCUACGGGAGGCAGCAGUGGGGAAUAUUGCACAAUGGAGGGAACUCUGAUGCAGCGACGCCGCGUGAGCGAUGAAGGAAUUCGUUUCGUAAAGCUCUGUUCUAGGGGAAGAAAAGGACUGUACCAUAGGAGAAAGCCCCGGCUAAAUACGU